AACAGGAUUAGAUACCCUGGUAGUCCAUGCCGUAAACGUUGGGAACUAGAUGUGGGGGCCAUUCCACGGUCUCCGUGUCGCAGCUAACGCAUUAAGUUCCCCGCCUGGGGAGUACGGCCGCAAGGCUAAAGCUCAAAGGAAUUGACGGGGGCCCGCACAAGCGGCGGAGCAUGCGGAUUAAUUCGAUGCAACGCGAAGAACCUUACCAAGGCUUGACAUAUACCGGAAACGUCCAGAGAUGGUCGCCCCGCAAGGUCGGUAUACAGGUGGUGCAUGGUUGUCGUCAGCUCGUGUCGUGAGAUGUUGGGUUAAGUCCCGCAACGAGCGCAACCCUCGUUCUAUGUUGCCAGCACGUUAUGGUGGGAACUCAUAGGAGACUGCCGGGGUCAACUCGGAGGAAGGUGGGGAUGACGUCAAAUCAUCAUGCCCCUUAUGUCUUGGGCUUCACGCAUGCUACAAUGGCCGGUACAAAGGGCUGCGAUACCGUAAGGUGGAGCGAAUCCCAAAAAGCCGGUCUCAGUUCGGAUUGAGGUCUGCAACUCGACCUCAUGAAGUCGGAGUCGCUAGUAACCGCAGAUCAGCAACGCUGCGGUGAAUACGUUCCCGGGCCUUGUACACACCGCCCGUCAAGUCAUGAAAGUCGGUAACACCCGAAGCCGGUGGCCUAACCCUUGUGGAAGGAGCCGUCGAAGGUGGGAUCGGUGAUUAGGACUAAGUCGUAACAAGGUAACC
rnacentral:rRNA from 1 species